rnacentral:rRNA from 1 species
GACGAACGCUGGCGGCGUGCUUAACACAUGCAAGUCGAACGGGCCUGUCUUCUUUUUUGGGGGGUGGGUUGAGUGGCGAACGGGUGAGUAUCACGUGAGUAACCUGCCCUUCGGUCCUGGAUAACCGCUUGAAAGGGCGGCUAAUACGGGGUGGUCCGGUUGGUCCGCAUGGGCUGGUCGGGAUAGAUUCACUGUUUUUGGUGUUUCGGCGGGGGAUGGGCUCGCGGCCUAUCAGCUUGUUGGUGGGGUGAUGGCCUACCAAGGCGGUGACGGGUAGCCGGCCUGAGAGGGUGGGCGGCCACACUGGGACUGAGAUACGGCCCAGAAUCCUGCGGGAGGCAGCAGUGGGGGGUAUUGCACAAUGGGCGGAAGCCUGAUGCAGCGACGUCGCGUGAGGGAUGGAGGCCUUCGGGUUGUGAACCUCUGUUUCCGGUGGUGAAGGCCCUGUCCGUGUGGUGGGGUUGACGGUAGCCGGGGAUGAAGCGCCGGCUAACUACGUG